AUAAAGGACAUGGCACUAAGUUUAUAACCGCACACUAUUAUUAAUUUUUAUCUUAGAAAUGCAAUUUUAAGAUGGAAUAUCAAGUAAAUGUAGAAACGACCAUGCUCGCUGAUGUGACUCUUCUUCGCCUUUCCAAGUCCCUUAGUCAUCAUCAAAGCACACCAUCUCAGCGACCAAAUACUGAAGCAGUCUAUAGAAAAUCGUGGCGC